GAAAAUAGGGAAGGAGAGUGAGGAGGUAGGAGCCGCCGGCCUCCGGCGGUGGCGGCCGUCCGGUGGCGCGGUGGUAGGAGGCCGAGAGGGAGAUAGAGGGGUGGAGAGAAGAGAGAGAGCGGCAGGGAGAGGGAGAGUGAGGUUAUGCGUGGGUGUUGAGGUAUGAGAUUUAAUUAGGGAUUGUUAGAUGGGCUUAGGAAUGGGCUUUAUUUUGGGUCUUAAUUUUAUUAAUUGAAUUGGGCUUCUAAUUUAGUUAAUUCUUUUAAGUAGUGAGCAUAAUUUAUUUAAGCCCAUAGUUACUCUUUUAAUUAUUAUUCCCAUUUCAG
rnacentral:lncRNA from 1 species